CAACCCUCAGGGCCACCCUUUCGGGGGUUCGGCGCCUGGUGCUGGGGAUCAGCGGCCCUCCGGGGCCCCUGUCCCCCAAAUUCAGUGGCGGUCGCGCCGCAGCCUCCCCUGCGUAGUAGCACACCUCGCACCGGAGAGCGGCUCGGCCAAGCCGUUAAACCCCCAACUUCUGAA
rnacentral:misc_RNA from 1 species